GAUAAACAGGUGUCAUAAGAUGCAUAUAGAAUAUCAAACGUGUGAUGUGCAUAUUCCUCCAUCUGCCAACAAUCCUCUGCAUAUGAGAUCAUAUCUCCUUCAACAAUGCACAAUUUGUCAUGCAGAUUUCUAAUUGCAUGUCUAUGAUGGAGGUUCAACAACUUCACAUCUUCUUCUUUCAUGAGAUUAAUGCAAAAAGAAUUCUAUUUAAAAAUAAAGUGGCAUCAAUUGGAUCAAAAUUGAUUACCUACAGAUUUUUGGCAAACACAUGAGCCGAGACUAUUUCAAGUCCAAAGGCCUUUUGUGAUUUUUCGAUAAAGGGCAAGUUGGAGAUCACAAUUUAGACUGCAUCCUGGCUGACCUUCAAUUUAAUUCAUUGCAUUAUGUUAAUAUGUAAAUAGAACAUUUAUAGAAAUCUUUAGAUCUCUGGAUCUAACUUUAAAUACAUUA